rnacentral:rRNA from 1 species
AGGACGAACGCUGGCGGCGUGCUUAACACAUGCAAGUCGAGCGGUAAGGCCCUUUCGGGGGUACACGAGCGGCGAACGGGUGAGUAACACGUGGGUGACCUGCCCUUAGCUCUGGGAUAAGCCUGGGAAACUGGGUCUAAUACCGGAUAUGACCUCGCGAUGCAUGUCGUGGGGUGGAAAGCCUUGUGCGGCUAGGGAUGGGCCCGCGGCCUAUCAGCUUGUUGGUGGGGUGAUGGCCUACCAAGGCGACG